UUCCGGUUGAUCCUGCCGGACCCGACUGCUAUCGGGGUGGGGCUAACCCAUGGAAGUCUAGGAGCCGGGGCUACGGCCGGCUCCGGCGGACGGCUCAGUAGCACGUGGCUAACCUACCCUCGGGAGGGGGAUAACCCCGGGAAACUGGGGAUAAUCCCCCAUAGGUGCAGACUCCUGGAAUGGGUCUGCGCCGAAAGGGCUGCAGCGCCAUGCCCGCUGUAGCCGCCCGAGGAUGGGGCUGCGGCCCAUCAGGUAGUUGGCGGGGUAACGGCCCGCCAAGCCGAUAACGGGUGGGGGCCGUGAGAGCGGGAGCCCCGAGAUGGGCACUGAGACAAGGGCCCAGGCCCUACGGGGCGCACCAGGGGCGAAACUUCCGCAAUGCGGGAAACCGUGACGGAGUCACCCCGAGUGCCACCCGAUGAGGGUGGCUUUUGCCCGGUCUAAAAAGCCGGGCGAAUAAGCGGGGGGCAAGCCUGGUGUCAGCCGCCGCGGUAAUACCAGCCCCGCGAGUGGUCGGGACGAUUAUUGGGCCUAAAGCGUCCGUAGCCGGCCCGGUAAGUCCCCCUUUAAAGCCCACGGCUCAACCGUGGGAGCGGGGGGAUACUGCCGGGCUAGGGGGCGGGAGAGGCCGGGGGUACUCCUGGGGUAGGGGCGAAAUCCUAUAAUCCCAGGAGGACCACCAGUGGCGAAGGCGCCCGGCUGGAACGCGCCCGACGGUGAGGGACGAAAGCUGGGGGAGCAAAGGGGAUUAGAUACCCCCGUAGUCCCAGCUGUAAACGAUGCGGGCUAGGUGUUGGGCGGGCCUCGAGCUCGCCCAGUGUCGUAGGGAAGCCGUUAAGCCCGCCGCCUGGGGAGUACGGCCGCAAGGCUGAAACUUAAAGGAAUUGGCGGGGGAGCACCACAAGGGGUGAAGCUUGCGGUUUAAUUGGAUUCAACGCCGGAAAUC
rnacentral:rRNA from 1 species